rnacentral:lncRNA from 1 species
UGUAUUAAUCCAAGUUCCCAAUUAGGUUAGUUCAAAUAAAUUUGAGCUAGUCUUGACCUAUUGCCUUUGAUCUAAUUAGACUAGGUAUAAUUUAUUUGAUUUAUUUUCUCAUCUUGGAAGUGUUUCAGAUGGAAAAAGAGUCCUCCAAGCCAUCAGGUCCAUGCCAUUUAUUUAUUACUGCCCCAUAUUUAUUGACACCUA